AACGAACGCUGGCGGCAGGCUUAACACAUGCAAGUCGAACGGGCACCUUCGGGUGUCAGUGGCAGACGGGUGAGUAACGCGUGGGAACGUACCCUUCGGUUCGGAAUAACCCAGGGAAACUUGGGCUAACACCGGAUACGUCCGCAAGGAGAAAGAUUUAUCGCCGAAGGAUCGGCCCGCGUCGGAUUAGCUAGUUGGUGGGGUAAUGGCCCACCAAGGCGACGAUCCGUAGCUGGUCUGAGAGGAUGAUCAGCCACACUGGGACUGAGACACGGCCCAGACUCCUACGGGAGGCAGCAGUGGGGAAUAUUGGACAAUGGGCGAAAGCCUGAUCCAGCCAUGCCGCGUGAGUGAAGAAGGCCUUAGGGUUGUAAAGCUCUUUCAGCGGGAAGAUAAUGACGGUACCCGCAGAAGAAGUCCCGG
rnacentral:rRNA from 1 species